rnacentral:lncRNA from 1 species
GCUCUCUGGGAACGUGGAGCUGCAGAAGCCUUGACUCUUUUGGGCUGAGACAAGAGAUUUCCACAAGUCCACCAGAUUCAUCUAUACCUAAGUGUGUUACAGGCUCCUUGUAGAAGCACCUUGCUGGCUCAAUUGCCAUCACAGCUGGAAGACUGAAAGAUGAUUGUUCAAGAGCACAGGCAGCCUUCAGUGGACAAUCAGAAUGUGCCUACAGCUGGAGAAACUCACUGGCAUGACGCCUUUGUUGCUCAUAAAUCUGAUUUCACAGAACUUGAAAAGAAGUGUGGUAAUACACGAUCCAAAGCUACUCGCAAGAAGCAUCUGGAAAAAAGCUCUUUUCUUCUGGAUGGGCUCCUGAUACAUAUUUGCAGAAAGCAAAUGAUGUACUGAACCAUGUGCUGUGACUGUCAACACUUUCAACAGUAUGAACUAUUUAUGUUUUUGUUUAGAACUGAUAGUGGUCAUUUAUUUUAAAUUUCUCCUAUGUGUUAUUGUAUUAAUAAGAAGUGAUUAUAUCUCUUCAGAAAAAGGGAAACACACACUGUUUUGCUUUUUUGGGGCAAGUCUGCUUUAUAUUAUGGUCAUCCAAAAUACUUAAGUAGCCCUGAAGACUUUGUUGUCCAUUGUUAUUCAUAAGAUAGAUGAGACUAAAAGAAGGAAUAAUACAGUUGAAAUACCAUAUGAGUUAACUGGCUAUUUUAUAAGUGAGAGUUUAUUGUCAUGCUUUGUGCUUCCUUUCAAUAUCUUGCUACUUUACUAGGUAGUGUUCUUUUCUCUGAUCAGUUUUUGGUAUGGUAUGAUUUGUGGCGACUGAGGAGAACACUAGUAAAUAAUCCUUUAAAAAUGUGAUGCAGGAACUCUCAAAUAUUUUGUACAUUCAAUUCUGCUAUGAAAUUUACAUCUAAUAUCCUAUAUGUGUCACAAAUCAAGAUACGUUAUUGUGUGUGAGAAGGAAGGAAUCUGAAUGGUAUAUAACUUGUGGAUUAUCAUUAUCUCAAUCUUAAAGGCUGAUUCAUAAGGAUUCAUAUCUUGUGAUAUAGCUAGUCAAAUGAGUCUUGUCUUAAAGCAGGAAACUUGUAUUCUGAGUGUUUUUUAUUUUUAUUUUUUAAAUUCCUUUUACAUACCUUUGUUAAAAAUGGAGAAGCAAGGGCUCUGUGGUUCUAUAUACAAAACAAAUGUUCCCUACAUGUCUGUGGGGAGAAAACAGCCACAUCUGUACAAUGGGACUGAGAGGUCAUUGCCAAGCUUUGGGUCACAGCAUUAAUACAGGUAUAGUAGCAGGUCUAUGUCCAUAUACAUUUCUCAGCAGGGUCCCAUCUCCCUCUAAGGAAAAAAUUACAUGCCCUUGCCCUUCUGUAAGGAGAAAACAAAGCAAAUAAUUUGGAUUCCUGAGGGAAUCAUGACUGUAAAGCAUGCUACAAACUGCACUUGCUCCACAAUAGACCCGACAGAUAUCAGCCAAGGUCAAUAUAUGAAUACAAACAUUUUUGCUUUUCUGUCUCCUCAUCAAGAAGCAGAUUGAAGCCAUAAUUCCUAGCUUUUAUAUAGUGUUUCUCUUCACUUUUUUUUUUUUUUUGUCAUUGCUCUUCUACCCAUUUAAAACCUUUCAUCAUAAAUGUCACAGCUAUUAUGUAUUGCAGACAAAAUGGAUGAAUGUGAAGAAAUGUUCAUACCUCUCUAAUACUAUGACUUUUCAAUGUACUCUUUUGGGACAGUGUGCUUUAGAGGGAAGAGCAGAAUGAUGGGGCUCUGUCCCUGUUUCAGUUAAGUUAAUAACUGGGAUGAAAAUGGACCCUAUGUUUCUAAAGUUUUCCUUUCUCUUUAACAAUUCUUCUUUAACACUUCUUUUACCUACUGGCAGGUUAGCAACAAAAUUGCCCCAAUGGCAGAUGUAAUCCCUUGAUACUGUGAUUUUGGAAAUGGACACUCCUUGUGUGUUUGGGUUAUAUUUCUUUCCCUUUUAUUUACGAAUUGCAGAGUCCUUGGGAAAAAAAAAAAAAAAAAAAAAAGAUGAAACAGAACAGGAUGGAAAUCACCUUGCCCUGGUAUCUCACAAUCUUUUUUUUUCCUUACAAAGGCAUAGAGUAGAUCAUAGCUGAUAUCUCUCAGCUGUGUGUUGUUUUGGUCUGUUAUACAUCUGUUGAAAAGUGAUAAUUUUCUUUUACAGAGAUUUAAACUACCUCUCCACAGAUGUAUUUCAACAGUUCAGAAUCCCUUGAAGUAUGAAGACAUCUUUUCUAACUAACAAAUUUGAGUAUUUUUCCAACUCCCGUGUGAUUUUUUGUUUUGUUGUAGGUUUUUUGUAUUGUUUUGUUUUGUUUUGUUAGGCAAAGUAACUUUUGGACAUACUGUAUUUCGUUUUUUCAAUAGAAUUGAAACUGCUGUGGUGAUGUCCCCAGAUUGAGUCAGCAGUAAGGAUGAGUAGAAAUUCACAACAGGCCCACAAACCCACAUACAUACAAUGUAUAUACAUAGAUACGCUUCUGGCCACACAGAUCAAUACAAACAUAAAACAGCACACAUACAAACAUAGACAGCACCAAUGGCCUUAUACUGAUUCCCUCCUGGCUUUCUGUAAUCUGUAAAUUCUCUUUUCCUAUAAGAGAGCACUCUUGUAUUCUCCAACAAUCCACUUAGAACACUUCAAAUCAAGUUCUACAUGAUCCCCAAAUUCUUUUGCCUGGUAUCCCAUAAUAAAUCCUGUCUGUCUUUAGGCAGUUAUUCGCUUUUGUUUGCAAGGUGUCCUGGAGAGAAUUUUCCAGUUUCUUACAAAGGAUGAUGCAAGAAUUGUUAUCAUUGCCUAGACCAGUACCAAUUCCAUGUGUUGUGUUUUCAGUGACUAACUUACUAGGCUCAUAUCAUUGUUCUGAUCUUCUGAUAUUCUCCAUGACUCUGUUUUUAUGACUUUAGAUAUAUGAUAUAACACACUGUUUCUAAUUUGGUAAUAUUCUCAAAUAGAAUUAGAAAAAAUUUCUCAUAAAAGUAAUUAAGAUCAUUCUUGAGGCUUAUACUGUAUUUGGGAUAGUGAAGGUUUCCACAUAAAAAUUCAUUCAGUAAGACUGGAAUGGCUUCUGUAUUAUAAUGUAUAAUAAUAAUAACAAUAAUAACAACAACAAUAAUAAUAAUAUAUUAUUAUAUUAUAAUAAUAUAUAUUAUAUAUUCAUGUAAUAUAUUAUUAUAAUAUACAAUAUAUAAUAAAAUUAUUAUACAUAUUAUUAUAAUAUAUAAUAUACAAUAUAUAAUACGUAUUAUAUUGCUAA